GUCUACGGCCAAGCCGCCCUGAACAAGCCCGACCUCUUCUGAUCGCAGAAGCUAAGCAGGGUCGGGCCUGGUUAGUACUUGGAUGGGAGACCACCCAGGAAGACCAGGUGCUAUAGGCG
rnacentral:rRNA from 1 species